UUCCAAGUCACCAAAAAAUAUUGUAAUUAAUUCCUAGAUACUGUUACUUCAUCCCGCACAAAAAUUCCUCCCCAAGAGGGUUAGGGCUCACAAAUCACCAUUAACGUCGCAGAGGUAAGCCGAGUCGAGUCUAAGAGGUUGCAUCCGCCGUCAUCACAGCCGAUUCUGUCUGAGCUUCGCGACCUUUGCGAACUCAGCUUCUUCGUCACCAUCACUACUCCUACUCUUUGGUUUAAGGGGUUUAGUUUUUAAGGAACAUCAAGAGCGUUCACUUUGGAAAAUUUGCCACCAACAAACAGGUUUUAGUUUGAAUUGGAAAGUUGUGUGACUUUCUCAAAUCCCAAUAUCAUCAGUACAUUGAGAUCUACAAAUUCAGGGAACUUUCGGGUUUUCUGGUUUUUACUUCUUAAAUGGAGAAUUCUUGUGACGUCUGUGGAAGCGUUGCGCAUCAAUCGAAUCGUUGCUCAAACAUUUUUGCUCGUUGUAGUAUCUGCCAAAGUGUUGCACAUCAAACUGGUGUGUGUCCACUAAUUUUUGAUUGCUGCAAUAUAUGUUCAAGUUCUGAGCAUAAAACAUGUUCUUGUCCAUUAUAUACACCUGAGAAUU